GUGGGGAAUAUUGGACAAUGGGCGAAAGCCUGAUCCAGCCAUGCCGCGUGUGUGAAGAAGGUCUUCGGAUUGUAAAGCACUUUAAGUUGGGAGGAAGGGCAUUAACCUAAUACGUUAGUGUUUUGACGUUACCGACAGAAUAAGCACCGGCUAACUCUGUGCCAGCAGCCGCGGUAAUACAGAGGGUGCAAGCGUUAAUCGGAAUUACUGGGCGUAAAGCGCGCGUAGGUGGUUCGUUAAGUUGGAUGUGAAAUCCCCGGGCUCAACCUGGGAACUGCAUCCAAAACUGGCGAGCUAGAGUAGGGCAGAGGGUGGUGGAAUUUCCUGUGUAGCGGUGAAAUGCGUAGAUAUAGGAAGGAACACCAGUGGCGAAGGCGACCACCUGGGCUCAUACUGACACUGAGGUGCGAAAGCGUGGGGAGCAAACAGGAUUAGAAACCCCGGUAGUCC
rnacentral:rRNA from 1 species